rnacentral:ncRNA from 1 species
CAAACAGCAAGGAAUGGGACAGUAGCUUAAAAGGAAGUCCACAGAAAGCAAUCGAAUGCUGAGAGAUUGCGUCCGACUUUCAAGUGAAAAUCACCCGGGAGCUGAACUUCAGAAAUAUGUACCUUGUCACUGUCAAGUGAUCAAUUAACAGGGUUCCAGUAAGAAGUUUCGCCUGCCCUGCGUUAACGGGUAAGAGUGAUGUGUUUGACGUAAUUUCAUGUACCUCAGACAUAUAAUCAGGGUGGUACCGCGGUUUAGUCGUCCCUAAG